CCAAAAUCUUCGCUCUCUCUUUUUCUCUCUCUCCGCCUUCUUCUCUCCUCUUCCCGUACUUUCAAAUUCCCUUUCUACCCUUCCUCUUUCCUCAAUUCUCAACUUUAUCCUCUCCCCCAGCGACCCUGCCCUUCUGCCGGCAGCGUUUUCAUGGACUCUUCUUCGCCGGAAGCCAUAGCCUCUGUCGACUCGCUCACAGAUAACUUCAAGAAUCAGAGUU
rnacentral:misc_RNA from 1 species